GAGGGUAUAGCUCAGUGGUAGAGUGUGUACCUAGCAUGUACAAGGUCCUGGGUUUAAUCUCCAGGACCCCA
rnacentral:tRNA from 1 species